UAGAGUUUAAAAACUCCCAAAACCCAUGUGAACAUACCUCUGUUGCCUCGGUGGCCUAUAUGGUAGUUACCCUGUAGUUACCCUGUAGUCCGCCGACGGUCUAUAAAACUCUGUUUUUUUAAUAUCUCUGAGUCAACUAUAAAUAAGUUA
rnacentral:misc_RNA from 1 species